UUAGAUCUUUUGUUAUUGUAUUCAACAAAGAAGACCGCUAAAAUUCAAAAUUGUGUGUUCAGACCAAAGUAUUAGAAUUGAUUAAAAGCAUAAUUUUAAAUUGAAGCAAUAAUGUUUAAGUGCACAAUCUGCGAUAAAAUGUACGAUUCAAAACAACAAUGGAACAGGCAUAAUAAACUCACUCAUAAAUUGUCAGUCAAGUUUUGUUAUGACUGUAAGCAAUGUGAGAAUACAUUUCAAUUUAAAAGAGCUCUUCAAAAACACCUAAUAACAAGUCAUAGUGAAAAGAAACUGCAAUCUAAGCAGUGUGGAAAACUUUACAAAUCAUUGAAGACCCUAAAAGCGCACAUGAAGAUAAAGAAACAUAAUUGGAUUAAAACAAGAAAGUCAAGACUAAUCUGUCCUUUUAAUGAUAAUUUGAAUUUUUAGACGUGUCAGCGAUUGAGGAAACAUUUGGUAGAAAGUCAUUCGGUGCAAAUAACACCUGAACAUUACACAUUUAAUACGGAUGCAGAGUUUGAUUAUUGGAAACAUACCAUUGAAGACAAAAUGAAAGUCAAUUAUGUUAAAGACAGUAGGUGUAGAACGCUAAAAUCUGGCGCCGUACGAUCUAUUUACAUAUGCCACAGAUCUUAUGCCCCAAGAG